rnacentral:misc_RNA from 1 species
GUAUAUUUGAUUAUGGCCUUUCGGCACUAUCACGUUCAAUAUUUUAUAAAGGGGUAUGUGUUAAUUAAAGAGGGCCUCGAAUCCGUUAAGACUCGAUUCCCUCAAAGGUUCACAGGUGUAUGGAUAAUGAAAUGUCAGAGAGCGAGCACAUGCAGCCCGAAAGCUACCAGCAUCAACUCUCCUUUACAAUUCGUUAAUGAUCCUUCCGCAGGUUCACCUACGGAAA